rnacentral:rRNA from 1 species
GACGAACGCUGGCGGCGUGCUUAACACAUGCAAGUCGAACGGAAAGGCCCUGCUUGCAGGGUACUCGAGUGGCGAACGGGUGAGUAACACGUGGGUGAUCUGCCCUGCACUUCGGGAUAAGCCUGGGAAACUGGGUCUAAUACCGGAUAGGAGCCAUUUUUAGUGUGAUGGUUGGAAAGUUUUUUCGGUCUAUGAUGAGCUCGCGGCCUAUCAGCUUGUUGGUGGGGUAAUGGCCUACCAAGGCGGCGACGGGUAGCCGGCCUGAGAGGGUGAACGGCCAUCUUGGGACUGAGGGACGGCCCAGACACCUACGGGAGGGCGCAGGGGGGAAUAUUGCACAAUGGGCGCAAGCCUGAUGCAGCGACGCCGCGUGGGGGAUGACGGCCUUCGGGUUGUAAACUCCUUUCGCUAGGGACGAAGCUUUUUGUGACGGUACCUAGAUAAGAAGCACCGGCUAACUACGUG